AGUAAUAUUACCAGAUGAUUUUCUGAUGAAUGACCGGUGAAUGUAUUUAUUUUUUCAGCUAUAGCGGAAUUUGUGUGCCUUCAAAUGCUGGAGCACUGUAUGUUUUAGAACUAUCAUCCAUUCAUGGCAGUACUGAUACAGACAAGGGAAAGAACAGGCCUCCUGGAAUGUCUACAACCUCUGUAGGAAUUAGCCCCUUUCAAGACGAUAUAACUCAAGAAAAGGCCAGACUCGAUGAUAAAGGCAAAGCGAGGCGAAAAUGAACACUAGACCAGGAUGGCCCUUGAAAAAUUGCAGGCACAGUUGCAAAACCCCAGGUAGAAACAACUUCAGAGACCGCCAAGAAACAGAAAACCAGAUUUUAAUGGAAGUAUUUUCAUAAUAAUCGCAUUGGAUUAAAACCCAUGUACUGUCCAUUUCUGUCUUGAAACGAUAAUCCUAUUUUCAGAACAUAACAGGAGGAUACUACUACUCCAUUCCCUGUACCAAGACGUCCGUUGCAUCACAUAACAAAUUGUCUGUAGGCUGCAUGUCUUCUCCUUCGAUUAAUGGCUUCAUAACAAAUUGUCUGUAGGCUGCAUGUCUUCUCCUUCGAUUAAUGUCUUCGUCCAUAUCAAUUGCUAGUACACCGUUUCUAUAUACAUUGGCAAGAUCCAGAACUCGUGGCUCUAAACAAUACUGUUCAAACUUCUGAAAAAAUUAAAUUAAAGAUACAUUAUGCGAGAUUAGAUAACGAGUUGGCAGUUCGCACUAUAAUAGUUAAAAACUAGAUAAUGUAAAGGCAAUUUGCUGAAAAUAUCUGUCAAAUUGAUCCACUAUGAACCGAGAAAUAAGUGAUCGAAAGUUCCGCAUAGCCUUGGUUAUCAUUACUAAAGUCGGUACGACAAAAAUCAUAGUCUAGAUUAUCCAUUUAAUCAUUAAAUCGAGAAGGAAAGUUAUGCAGCAAAUCGUAUCAUAA